CAUGCAAGUCGAACGAGACCUUCGGGUCUAGUGGCGCACGGGUGCGUAACGCGUGGGAAUCUGCCCUUGGGUACGGAAUAACUCAGAGAAAUUUGUGCUAAUACCGUAUAAUGUCUUCGGACCAAAGAUUUAUCGCCCAAGGAUGAGCCCGCGUAAGAUUAGCUAGUUGGUGGGGUAAAAGCCUACCAAGGCGACGAUCUUUAGCUGGUCUGAGAGGAUGAUCAGCCACACUGGGACUGAGACACGGCCCAGACUCCUACGGGAGGCAGCAGUGGGGAAUAUUGGACAAUGGGCGAAAGCCUGAUCCAGCAAUGCCGCGUGAGUGAUGAAGGCCUUAGGGUUGUAAAGCUCUUUUACCCGGGAUGAUAAUGACAGUACCGGGAGAAUAAGCUCCGGCUAACUCCGUGCCAGCAGCCGCGGUAAUACGGAGGGAGCUAGCGUUGUUCGGAAUUACUGGGCGUAAAGCGCGCGUAGGCGGUUUUUUAAGUCAGUAGGUGAAAGCCCA
rnacentral:rRNA from 1 species